AACAGGAAUAGUCGGAUCAGGAACAAAGACGAAUAAUCGCUUCUAAUAUAAUAAUAGCCGAUGCGUGUAUCGGCCUAGGGCUAUUUUUUUAUACUGUUCGGUCCAUCCUAACUUUAAACGCCGGAAGCAGGAGCAACGUGCUGGUACCUAAAUAGUUCGUCGAAAAAGGAGCCUAAGGCUUCGAUGAAUCUCUCACGAUAGUAACUCCCUCUACAUAUUUCUAAUCCUUGACACUUUAACAAGAUACGAUAUAUCAAACGUUAUUACCUACGAUAAAUAUUCCUUGCAAGAAGAAGAAGAACUGCCAUAAAUUAAGAUCUUCUGAACAAUUUGUUAUUAUUAAUAACAAACAAAACUGAAAUAGUGGAAAUAAUUCUAAAGUUAUGAAGAGUAAUUGAAACAAUAUCGUCUCGAACGAUGUUAACCUCAAAGAUUAUUUGGAAAUCGAAGAAACGCUUCUACAGGUUAGGAUGACGUGGUCAUGGGUUAGCCGGAGGUUACUUCGGAGCUCAUCGACUCGCUAUUGGCAAAUCGCGACUUGGAGGAGCCAGCGGCGGCUUCGUGUCCUCUGGCAAGGAAAAGAAACCGAUAUUAAUGAAGGAAGAGAGGAGAACAACUUUCACGCGACCACGAGGCUUCUUCGUAUCGGAAUGCAUCUGUGCGUCUCCCCGAGGGAAAGAAGAUCCCUUACCCGUUUUAAUUGCAAAUUUCUCCUGUCUGAUCUUCUUGCAAAUUGUUCAACGGAACUAGUCAAACCAUUACCAUUAAGGGCUCCUGUGAUCAACACUGAAUUUCUAACGAAGAUCAUCUAUUCUUUGAAAAUAAUUUUUAUUUUUUUCUUUUUUUUAAGUUAUAUAACAUAUUUUUUUUAUUUGAUUCAGGUAUAAUAGUAGAUGUGGAUUGUACAUCGAAUGAAAAAGAGGUUAUGUUAAAGAGAUCUUUGUUGCAAAAGCCGACUCUUGAACGAGAUGUAAUGAACUUCAAUUAUGACGCUGCCGCGUUUCCAUGGGACUGAGACCGCGCAAUAAGCUUUGAAAGUAACUAGUAAAGAAGCCAAGUGAUUCAGUCGUUGAUAUUGUGCGCGGAGAUGCAGAAAACUUUAUGAUGCAAGAACAAAAAUCAUAAAAUAUAUAAGAACGAUUAACUUAAUUAUUCUCCAAUUCCAAAAAAUAUUUUGGCGUAAGUAAUAAGCGGGGAGAAGAUAAUUGUGACGAUUAUUCGGCGUCAAAUUGAAUCGACAAGUUCAUGGUCACGGCAGCUCCAGUGCCAUGAGCCCGAGAAAAGAGAAACAGAUACCGAAAACGGUACCGGACACGAACGGUGCGUACGGCAGGUGGAUGACGCAAGCGGGAUGACUUUACUCGUGGUUAUCCCUUCCCAAAAGUAAAAUUUCUCUCUCCCAGAGGGACUUUACAGCUGACAUCUCGCAUCUUUCUAUCUUCCAAACUCUCUCAUUUGCCAAUCUCUGAUGUCAACUUUCAAUAGACAGAUACAUAUGUUGUACAACCAUACAUCUUUACACAAAUUAUUUUGCGUUUCAAUAUAUUUAAAUUAAGAUCAUGUUACUUAUAUUGGCAAUUAUAACUUAAUCUAUGUGACUAGAUUAUAUUUUUACAAUUAAUCGAUUUUACACUUUAUUCUAUUGUCAUUGAUACAACUAUGCUGAAUAAUUCAAGAUAACCGAAAAAGAUAUGAAAGCUGGAAAUCUAUUAAUAGAUUUUUCUAAGCCGACCAACAUCGAUGGCGACACACUGAUCGAAUAUCGCGCGCCAUGUCUGCCAGAAUUUAUUGUUUCGCUAUCGAGCCGUCCACGAUCUACUUUGAUAAUUACGUACCGUGUAAAACGAUAUUAAAGGGAUAGCGUUUCACGAGCGUAGCAGGUGAUAAGUAUCCUCUUACACGAAUUGAUAAAUUAUCCAACUUGAUAAGGAGAGAAAAUGUGCCAAGAUGGAAACUCUGAGAUAGUUCAACAAGUCUUUUUCUUUUGGAAGUCAAGAUAUGAUUAGAAACUUGGUUCAUUUAAAUAAGUACAAUAGUGAUUUAUCUUGUGUGAUAAGAAAAAAAAAUUUUGAAAAAUGAUGAAAUUCUAGUAUUAUGGUAAGGUUAUUUGUCGCUUUCUGUUAGUCCAUGCGAAUAGGUAUGCGAAAAGAUAUACUUAUUGUUGAAGCGUGUUCAUAAACUGCGACCCAGUAAAACUAAUAAAUCUGUGAAUACGCUUAAUUAAUGCGCCACGGCGGAAUAACGCGGCUAAAUGAUCAACGAUGCGCGGAGUUAAUGACGCUAAUGAGACAGUUUUAGCCAUAUAAUCUAAUUUCAUAGAAUCAGUAAAAUUUUUGAGAGUUUUGGAAAGCGAAGGAAAGCAAGUUCUCAAGAAAUGUUUAAUUAAACACCAAGUUUUUAAAGUAUACUUUCAAUUUCACCGAGUUUGUUUUAACGUUGACAGUGACACGCAUCGCAAUUGCGUUGAUGAUGGUAAUGCUUCAAGAAGGAAGAGACACGCGACGCGGAGGAAACGAGGAAACGUCUCUGGUGAAAGCUUUUUAGACGAAGGAACAAAGAGACGAGGCAAUAAUGCCUCGAAAUGCCGCAGCGUUCACCGCACUGUACGAUUCUGAUCUGCAUCUGCCCGGUUAUUACUCCUAAAUUACGCAUUGCCGGAGAAAUUUCAUACGUUGUGGCAACUUAAUGUCAUUAUUCCGAAGUACAAACUCUUCUCACGGAAGAAUACGACUGAUAAUGUGAUUGUAAAAGACUCGAAACGAGUAACAAGUUACGUUCGAUUAAAAUACCUCACUUUGACAGAUUGAUUUUUUUAAAAGUUAUAGAAUCAUAUUGAAUUGGAAUAUAAGAAAUAAUAUAAUAUAAAGAAAAUAUUCUAUAAAAUAAAUCGGAGAGUAAAUUUUUAAAUUUAAAAAAAAAAGAAAUAUCGAUACGAGCGUGUUAUUUACAGUCAACAAAAUCAACAAUUUGAUUUUUCUUUUUUUGAAAAAUUGCGAUUCUAUUCUAAGCUAAGAGAGAAGAAAAGAAUCGGGAAGAGAUGAAGAAUUUUUUUUCACACGAAAAAAUUAUUAAUUAUAAAAAAAUUAUUAAUCUAAAAUUAAAAAGCUUCGAAUUUGAAUUUUACUUCUAACGCGCCACAGUUAUUCGCCACAUGUAUGACAAUAAAAUAAUAAUACGAGGUGUUGUUGCGUGACAAGUCGUUCGCUCCGAUUAAGUUUUAACACGGCACGUUAGAAAUAAAUGCGCGCAUUGUCGAUCAGGUGCGCACAACCUUGGCCGUAUUACGAUUUAUUUUAGUUGAUCGUUGAAAAGAAUGGAGACACGGGUUAAUCGGCGUAAAUUGUACGUGAAUGCGUGGAUUCGCGUAAUUAAGAGGAUGCAUGAACCAACGCGCGUGUUACGAUCCGUGCGUCAGAAGAGAAAGGAUUUUACUUGAUAAAACGAGCGGACCGCAAAAGGAGGCUGGCUUUAUUGCAAGCCACCGCUCUCACGGUCGGUAAAAACGACCCGCUCUCGCUUUACAAUACGAUGAAUAAUUGAUUUGCAGUUUCACUCUUUCGUGGAUUACGUAACAAUAAGGGAGGAUAAUUUAAUUACUUGUGGAUAAUCGUAACAUGACCAGUGGCGUUUAGAUCGUCCCGUAAAAACAAAAAUGGCAAACUUUCACUCACGGAUGGCUCGGAUUUUUGUCCAGAUAAUCGUGCCAUUUUUACUUUUUUUUUACAUAUAAAAGACAAAAAGAGAGAAAUUUUACAGUUAAAAAGAAAAUCUUACGUCAUUCAUUACGUGUCUCAAAAUAGAAAUAAAGAUUUUUCAUAAGAACAAUUUACUUGUCAAUGUGAAAAAUUCCCUCAAAAAAAAGAAGAAAAAAAAAAUCCUUCAAAGUUUCACUCUCGAUAAAGUACUCGUCAUCUUAAAUAAUAUUUUAGGAAAAAAGUUUAAUAGUCUGGAUUAGUUUCAUAUCGCAAUUUGGAAGAACAAAUUACAUCGCGACUUUUUUAGCCACUUUAGUACUUGACACAAUAACGUGACGGAAAUCGUCACACCAGCAAUAAAAUAAAGUCGUGCUUUACGCCUUUUAAACCGGC